GGUAAGAUAAGCUAAAUUUUAAGCUAUUGGACUCAUAAUCCAAAAAUGAUUAUUUCUUUUACUU
rnacentral:tRNA from 1 species